GACAGAGGAUGCAAGCGUUAUCCGGAAUGAUUGGGCGUAAAGCGUCUGUAGGUGGCUUUUUAAGUCUGCCGUCAAAUCCCAGGGCUUAACCCUGGACAGGCGGUGGAAACUACCAAGCUGGAGUACGGUAGGGGCAGAGGGAAUUUCCGGUGGAGCGGUGAAAUGCGUAGAGAUCGGAAAGAACACCAACGGCGAAAGCGCUCUGCUGGGCCGACACUGACGCUGAGAGACGAAAGCUAGGGGAGCGAAUGGG
rnacentral:rRNA from 1 species